GACGAACGCUGGCGGCGUGCUUAACACAUGCAAGUCGAACGGAAAGGCCCUGCUUUUGUGGGGUGCUCGAGUGGCGAACGGGUGAGUAACACGUGAGUAACCUGCCCUUGACUUUGGGAUAACUUCAGGAAACUGGGGCUAAUACCGGAUAGGAGCUCCUGCUGCAUGGUGGGGGUUGGAAAGUUUCGGCGGUUGGGGAUGGACUCGCGGCUUAUCAGCUUGUUGGUGGGGUAGUGGCUUACCAAGGCUUUGACGAGUAGCCGGCCUGAGAGGGUGACCGGCCAAAUUGGGACUGAGAUACGGCCCAGACUCCUACGGGAGGCAGAAGUGGGGAAUAUUGCACAAUGGGCGGAAGCCUGAUGCAGCAACGCCGCGUGCGGGAUGACGGCCUUCGGGUUGUAAACCGCUUUCGCCGGUGACGAAGCGUGAGUGACGGUAAUGGGUAAAGAAGCCCCGGCUAACUACGUG
rnacentral:rRNA from 1 species